AGGUAUCAGUUGAUAAAACGUAGCACUGUUUCAUCAAUAAUUUACAGCAAGCAUAGACCACCUAGAGAAUCUGAUGGCUAAAGUUGAUAAUGUGAAUCCACAAGGAAAUCACUAAAAGAAAACUCUUCUCUGCAAACGGAAUUCAGUAAGCUAGGGCUAAUCCCGUAAGCAUUGAGUUAUUGCACCAUGGGAAUUGCUCCUCCAGCUGCUACAAUCUGCUGCUCCAACUCGAAUAAAGUUUGGAGUUUGUUCUUCACAAGCAAGUACUCCUGUUUUAUUUGUUGCAAGCAUCUCAAGCACGCUUCAG
rnacentral:misc_RNA from 1 species